rnacentral:rRNA from 1 species
UCCUGGCUCAGGAUGAACGCUGGCGGCGUGCCUAAUACAUGCAAGUCGAGCGAACGGAYGAGAAGCUUGCUUCUCUGAUGUUAGCGGCGGACGGGUGAGUAACACGUGGAUAACCUACCUAUAAGACUGGGAUAACUUCGGGAAACCGGAGCUAAURCCGGAUAAUAUUUUGARCCGCAUGGUUCAAAAGUGAAAGACGGUCUUGCUGUCACUUAUAGAUGGAUCCGCGCUGCAUUAGCUAGUUGGUAAGGUAACGGCUUACCAAGGCAACGAUGCAUAGCCGACCUGAGAGGGUGAUCGGCCACACUGGAACUGAGACACGGUCCAGACUCCUACGGGAGGCAGCAGUAGGGAAUCUUCCGCAAUGGGCGAAAGCCUGACGGAGCAACGCCGCGUGAGUGAUGAAGGUCUUCGGAUCGUAAAACUCUGUUAUUAGGGAAGAACAUAUGUGUAAGUAACUGUGCACAUCUUGACGGUACCUAAUCAGAAAGCCACGGCUAACUACGUGCCAGCAGCCGCGGUAAUACGUAGGUGGCAAGCGUUAUCCGGAAUUAUUGGGCGUAAAGCGCGCGUAGGCGGUUUUUUAAGUCUGAUGUGAAAGCCCACGGCUCAACCGUGGAGGGUCAUUGGAAACYGGAAAACUUGAGUGCAGAAGAGGAAAGUGGAAUUCCAUGUGUAGCGGUGAAAUGCGCAGAGAUAUGGAGGAACACCAGUGGCGAAGGCGACUUUCUGGUCUGUAACUGACGCUGAUGUGCGAAAGCGUGGGGAUCAAACAGGAUUAGAUACCCUGGUAGUCCACGCCGUAAACGAUGAGUGCUAAGUGUUAGGGGGUUUCCGCCCCUUAGUGCUGCAGCUAACGCAUUAAGCACUCCGCCUGGGGAGUACGACCGCAAGGUUGAAACUCAAAGGAAUUGACGGGGACCCGCACAAGCGGUGGAGCAUGUGGUUUAAUUCGAAGCAACGCGAAGAACCUUACCAAAUCUUGACAUCCUUUGACAACUCUAGAGAUAGAGCCUUCCCCUUCGGGGGACAAAGUGACAGGUGGUGCAUGGUUGUCGUCAGCUCGUGUCGUGAGAUGUUGGGUUAAGUCCCGCAACGAGCGCAACCCUUAAGCUUAGUUGCCAUCAUUAAGUUGGGCACUCUAAGUUGACUGCCGGUGACAAACCGGAGGAAGGUGGGGAUGACGUCAAAUCAUCAUGCCCCUUAUGAUUUGGGCUACACACGUGCUACAAUGGACAAUACAAAGGGYAGCGAAACCGCGAGGUCAAGCAAAUCCCAUAAAGUUGUUCUCAGUUCGGAUUGUAGUCUGCAACUCGACUACAUGAAGCUGGAAUCGCUAGUAAUCGUAGAUCAGCAUGCUACGGUGAAUACGUUCCCGGGUCUUGUACACACCGCCCGUCACACCACGAGAGUUUGUAACACCCGAAGCCGGUGGAGUAACCUUUUAGGAGCUAGCCGUCGAAGGUGGGACAAAUGAUUGGGGUGAAGUCGUA